rnacentral:rRNA from 1 species
CAGUCGCCACGGGAAUACAGAGGGUGCAAGCGUUAAUCGGAAUUACUGGGCGUAAAGCGCGCGUAGGUGGUUUGUUAAGUUGGAUGUGAAAUCCCCGGGCUCAACCUGGGAACUGCAUCCAAAACUGGCAGGCUAGAGUAGGGCAGAGGGUGGUGGAAUUUCCUGUGUAGCGGUGAAAUGCGUAGAUAUAGGAAGGAACACCAGUGGCGAAGGCGACCACCUGGGCUCAUACUGACACUGAGGUGCGAAAGCGUGGGGAGCAAACAGGAUUAGAUACCCGCGUAGUCCCUGUCUCUUAUAC